rnacentral:lncRNA from 1 species
AAGUAGAUGAACUUCGAUAUUUAUUUCAUAGAAGAGAACGACUCCUCGGAAAUUACUCAAAAUUUCUUGAAACAAAUGAUAUUGUUAGAGCAAUUUAAAUAUUUCAUACGGAGAUCUUAGUAGAGUAGUAGUUCGUCUUAUCUUCACUCCUCGCGCAGUUUCUGGAAGCAAUCACGUUUUUUUUAGCCAUCUGAUGACCAUUUGCUUCAAAUUUCAAGAACACAGCCACAAGAUCUCAUUUACUUGCUCCACAAACCCUGAUGUUCAUCCAAGGCCGAAAUCGUUUAAUUCAUAUUUCUUCACUUGAAAUUCUAAGAAAAUCUUGAAGAGUGGGGACACAUGGGAUCUUAUCUACGCUACUGAAGAAGAUGAAUACGACGUUAUUCCUUCUAAAUGGAGGAAUGGCAAUAAAUGUGCGUUUCCGGACCCUACAGUUUCUAAAAAUGAGCUUAACAACCUCGUCCGAAACUGUGGUGACCCAGGUGAUAAAUGGAGCCAGAUAGACUGUCAAUUCAUCAAAGAGUACGACAAUUUUGAAGAUGCCUGCAUUGACAUGGUCCGUAAAACUAAAAAACGUCGACUGGCCAGUGAAAGCGCAGACGAAACAGCAAAGAAACGAAGAUCAUCAACCCCUCCUAUUUAUGGUGAUUUCUCCAAUGUGAUCAUUCCAGGGAAAAAUUCUAACACAAAGAAAAUUCCCCAACCAAAAAAACAAGAAUCUCCAAAGACAUCUGGUCCCAAAAAUCAAGAAUCUCCAAAGACACCGGGUCCCAAAAUCUAGAAUCUUCAAAGACAUCGCGUCCCAAAAAUCAAGAAUCUGCGAAGACAUCGGGUCCCAAAAAUCAAGAAUCUCCAAAGACAUCGGGUCCCAAAAAUCAAGAAUCUGCGAAGACAUCGGGUCCCAAAAAUCAAGAAUCUCCAAAGACAUCGGGUCCCAAAAAUCAAGAAUCUCCAAAGACAUCGGGUCCCAAAAAUCAAGAAUCUCCAAAGACAUCGGGUCCCCAAAAUCAAGAUUCUCUCAAGACAUCAGAUCCCAAAACACAUCAACAGCAACCAGACAUGAAAAAGCAGCGGCAACCUUGUCAAUGUCCGGUUCCUCAGCGCGACUAUCACAAUUGUGCCAGUGCACCAGCAAUAUCCUUAAAGUCGGUAGCCGCUGCAUUAUGUUAUGCAUCCCGUGCGCAAGAGAAGAGUUACUCGCGAGAGGAAAGACACCACAAAGAAGUCUGCUCAAAACUCGAUGAAAUUUAAAGGCGGUGAAAGGUUUGAAAAUCACCAACCCAGAAACUGGUGGGAGUGGACCUGCUGCGAUACCUCGCCGCAUUAUUUCCGACUCAGAUGUCGAUCCUGAAGUUCUUGAAGGGCUCCCAAUUUUAAGAACGAAAGUCUUAAAGAAGAUUGUCCGGUUAUUAGAUGAAGAUUCUUCAUUCAAAGACAAACUAGUGAGUAAUGCCUACCCAUCCUUUUGUGCAGUUAUGAAUGCUUAAAUGUGAGUUUCUCUCUUUAUUGUACAAGGAACUGCUUGAAUUCUCAAUCUUGAGUUUCUAUUUUAAAAAAUUAGGAAGGGAGCAAAACUUAGAAGAAAGUUGCCGUUACCGGAAUUUGUCCACUGUCUGUACAUCUGCACGAAAAUAGCUACAUAGUUGGUUAAAUUGUUCUUUAGCUCUCUUUCUGCCUAAUAAAGGAGUAUUUUGGUAUGGUGUUGCAGUCACAAACAUCUUACUGCAUGGUACACAAGCCAAAAAUCAGUGCGGCAUUGCACAUGCCUCUUGCCACACGCUUUUUCGUGGACCAGGUCUACCUCUAUAAUUUGUAAAUAUGCUCAACUUGAUGUACCCACUUAAUUCAUUCUUUCUGUUACAGAUUGCUACUAUUGUAAAUGAAAAAAUAACCAAAGCCGCCUCAUUUCCCACAGCUACUGCCCGUCAAGUUCUGGCGGAACUUAUUUCUCCCGGAAAGGCAAAGCUUUUUUCUUGGGAUGGAAAGAAAAGAAAUGGUAUCUGCAAAAUUGCUUUCAGCAAACUUCCAUUCAAAGAUAUCGUAUAUGGUAAGUGCAUUUUCCCCGUAAUGAAGAAUAGUUCUCUUCAAGAAUGUAGUUGAGUUCAGGACACUUGAGAGUUUUUAGAGGCUUCUCAGUCACUGCUUGGAAUAAUUCAAGUCAUACCGAUACAAAGGGGUAGAGGAUUAAAAAAGAAUUUCAAGUCACU